GUCACAAGGCUGUUAAUCCCUAUAAAUAAUAAUUUCUAGUGUAGUUCACUCCCUCGCCUCAUCUAGGGUUUUGAGACACCAUUUCCGGCCCCCAUCUCGAUCCGAUGGCUGUCUUCUCCGAUCUUCACACCGAGGCCGGCCUCAAAACCCUAGACGAGUUCCUCUCCGGCAAAACCUUCAUCUCCGGAGAUGAGAUUACCAAGGAUGAUGUGAAGGUUUAUGCGGCAGUGUCUUCGCCCGGUGAGGGGUUCUCUAAUGUUUCUCGUUGGUAUGAGACCGUCUCUUCAGCUCUUGCAGUGAGGUUUCCUGGCAAGGCUGCUGGAGUGAAUAUUGGUGGACAAGUUCCACUGUCGGAACCUGCACCUUCGUCUGAGGCUACAAAGGUGGUGGCCGAAGAAGAUGAUGAUGAUUUGGAUCUCUUCGGUGAUGAGACUGAGGAGGAGAAGAAGGCAGCUGAGGAGAGGGAGGCUGCUGUCAAAGCAUCCUCUAAAAAGAAAGAGAGUGGCAAGUCCUCUGUCCUAUUGGAGGUGAAGCCGUGGGAUGAUGAGACUGACAUGAAGAAGUUGGAAGCAGCAGUCCGCAGCAUUGAAAUGCCUGGUCUCUUAUGGGGUGCAUCAAAGCUUGUAGAAGUAGGUUAUGGUAUUAAGAAGCUGCAGAUCAUGAUGACUAUUGUGGAUGACCUUGUCUCCGUCGACACUCUUAUUGAAGAGCGUCUCACCGUUGAGCCUUUUAAUGAGUACAUUCAGAGUUGUGAUAUCGCUGCAUUCAACAAGAUCUAAAGCUUGUUUUCUGCCGUUUAGGACCAGUUUCUUUUACUUAUUUUCUGAGGAUAAUGUUUAAUCUUUCAACUUAUUGAGUGUUUU
rnacentral:misc_RNA from 1 species